rnacentral:rRNA from 1 species
UUACACAGGUCGUCAAGCUCCAACUGUCUUUAAUUGCAAAUUGACCUCA